GCAGAGUAGGUCUGGACGUGUUGAGGCGGCGUAAGCCGUCCCAGUGCCGGCGGAACGGGGAGUUGUCCGCCGGACGAAUUGGCGUUUGCCAGCAGUGUCCAGCCCGCAUCCCGCUGC
rnacentral:ncRNA from 1 species